GACGAACGCUGGCGGCGUGCUUAACACAUGCAAGUCGAACGGAAAGGCCCUGCUUUUGUGGGGUGCUCGAGUGGCGAACGGGUGAGUAACACGUGAGUAACCUGCCCUUGACUUUGGGAUAACUUCAGGAAACUGGGGCUAAUACCGGAUAGGAGCUCCUGCUGCAUGGUGGGGGUUGGAAAGUUUCGGCGGUUGGGGAUGGACUCGCGGCUUAUCAGCUUGUUGGUGGGGUAGUGGCUUACCAAGGCUUUGACGGGUAGCCGGCCUGAGAGGGUGACCGGCCACAUUGGGACUGAGAUACGGCCCAGACUCCUACGGGAGGCAGCAGUGGGGAAUAUUGCACAAUGGGCGGAAGCCGGAUGCAGCAACGCCGCGUGCGGGAUGACGGCCUUCGGGUUGUAAACCGCUUUCGCCUGUGACGAAGCGUGAGUAACGGUAAUGGGUAAAGAAGCACCGGCUAACUACGU
rnacentral:rRNA from 1 species